UGGGGAAUUUUGGACAAUGGGCGCAAGCCUAAUCCAGCAAUGCCGCGUGAGUGAAGAAGGCCUUCGGGUUGUAAAGCUCUUUCAGACGGAAAGAAAUCUCUUGGGCGAAUACCCUGGGAGGAUGACGGUACCGUAAGAAGAAGCACCGGCUAACUACGUGCCAGCAGCCGCGGUAAUACGUAGGGUGCGAGCGUUAAUCGGAAUUACUGGGCGUAAAGCGUACGCAGGCGGUGAUGUAAGACAGGUGUGAAAUCCCCGGGCUUAACCUGGGAAUUGCAUUUGUGACUGCAUCGCUGGAGUGCGGCAGAGGGGGAUGGAAUUCCGCGUGUAGCAGUGAAAUUCGUAGAUAUCGGGAGGAACACCAGUGGCGAAGGCGGCGAUCUGGGUCGAUACUGACGCUGAGGUGCGAAAGCGUGGGGAGCAAACA
rnacentral:rRNA from 1 species